rnacentral:rRNA from 1 species
UACGUAGGGGCCGAGCGUUGUCCGGAAUUACUGGGCGUAAAGCGCGCGCAGGCGGCGCCUCAAGCCCGACGUGAAAGCCCCCGGCUCAACCGGGGGAGGGUCGUCGGGGACUGGGGUGCUUGAGGGCGGUAGGGGCCGGUGGAAUUCCCGGUGGUAGUGGUGAAAUGCGUAGAGAGUCGGGAGGAACACCAGUGGCGAAGGCGGCCGGCUGG